rnacentral:rRNA from 1 species
AUUGAACGCUGGCGGCAGGCCUAACACAUGCAAGUCGAGCGGAUGAAGGGAGCUUGCUCCUGGAUUCAGCGGCGGACGGGUGAGUAAUGCCUAGGAAUCUGCCUGGUAGUUGGGGAUAACGUCCGGAAACGGGCGCUUAUACCGCAUACGUCCUGAGGGAGAAAGUGGGGGAUCUUCGGACCUCACGCUAUCAGAUGAGCCUAAGACGGAUUAGCUAGUUGGUGGGGUAAAGGCCUACCAAGGCGACGAUCCGUAACUGGUCUGAGAGGAUGAUCAGUCACACUGGAACUGAGACACGGUCCAGACUCCUACGGGAGGCAGCAGUGGGGAAUAUUGGACAAUGGGCGAAAGCCUGAUCCAGCCAUGCCGCGUGUGUGAAGAAGGUCUUCGGAUUGUAAAGCACUGUAAGUUGGGAGGAAGGGCAGUAAGUUAAUACCUUGCUGUUUUGACGUUACCAACAGAAUAAGCACCGGCUAACUUCGUG